GUGGGGAAUAUUGCACAAUGGGGGAAACCCUGAUGCAGCAACGCCGCGUGAGCGAUGAAGGCCUUCGGGUUGUAAAGCUCUGUCUUCGCUGACGAUAAUGACGGUAAGCGAGGAGGAAGCCACGGCUAACUACGUGCCAGCAGCCGCGGUAAUACGUAGGUGGCAAGCGUUGUCCGGAAUUACUGGGCGUAAAGGAUGCGUAGGCGGCCUCUUAAGUGGGAUGUGAAAUCCCGGGGCUUAACCCCGGAGCUGCAUUCCAUACUGGGAGGCUAGAGUGCAGGAGAGGAAAGCGGAAUUCCCAGUGUAGCGGUGAAAUGCGUAGAGAUUGGGAGGAACACCAGUGGCGAAGGCGGCUUUCUGGACUGUAACUGACGCUGAGGCAUGAAAGUGUGGGGAGCAAACAGGAUUAGAAACCCUUGUAGUCC
rnacentral:rRNA from 1 species